AGAGCGUUCUGGUAGGCCCAAGGGUCUUGAUCGUACCUAAUGGCUCAGCCAUAGCUGCAACUGAUGGUUUCUAAUGAGUACAAUGUGUUGCUAAAGACUAAAGACUGUCUACAUUACCUCCCACCCCCACCCCCACCCCCACCCCCACCCCCACCCCCACCUGCGUCAACAAACUGAACCAUCGGGUUUCAUCCUUCGAAGUCACCGCCAGGGCCAGGCUUGGAACUGCAGGUGAUCUGAGAUUACUUUUAGGGUGAUAGAAAAUACAUGAGGUAGAAAGAACUUGAGGAAUGGUCACAGCCUAUGGCAAAAAAGAGGACAACCAUUACAAGCACACUCUGGGAACUUUCCUAUAUCUGACCUCCCCAAGGACACAUGGCCCCGUCUGUCUUCUCUCACAGCUGACUUUUCUGGACCAUGACUCAGAGCCAUGACGACUUUCUACAGCUGAGAGACCAAAGCGAGGUUAGGUGAAAAAAUCAAGAUUUGAGAAGCAGAAGAAAGACAUAUUCUGCGGUUUACACAAAGAUCAGUUAUCUUCAAGACACUGUGUUGUGAGCAAGAGUGAGUCUUGCUGCCGGGUUGUGAUGUAAGCUGGGCUGCACCGAGGACUGGGUAUGACUCCUAGAGGGAACCACGUUGGAAUAUAAUACAGAUGCCUACACACUGUGUUCAUUGCAACGGUAUUCAUAUGCCAACUUAUGGAAUCAGCUUACAUGCCUGAGACCGGACAACCGGAUUGCCCUGGCCCUCUUGUCUGUGCCUCUCCUGCAGUUAGCUCUCAUUUGGCCUCUGCGAAGAGAACAGGGUGUGUUAAUGGAGGUGCAGGUGUGUGUAGAGGCCAGAGGAGGACACUCAACUUCUUUAAGUUGGAGCUAUAGUCACUCGCAAAAACACUCAACAAGCAUGGAUGCUGAGAAGAGAACCUGAUUUCUCUGGAUGGGCAGCCUGUAUGUGGACCCACUGAGUCAACUCUUCAGCCACUUGCUUUAUUUUUUAGUGCCUGGGAUCAAACCUAGGCCUUGUACACUCUAGGCAUAAGCUCUCCUGCUAGGCUACAUCUCCAGACCCCUCUACCCUCAUAAAUAUCAAAAUGCCCAUCUAUUUGUGUUUUCUCAAGCAUUUAAGUGAAGCAUG